AUCAACCCAGGCUUGGCUGGUACCUUGACCGGCCCCAAAGGGAAGGUCUCAACAGCCCCCGGUGCCGCUGCAUCCAACACACGCAAUUGAUUGUUGUAUCAGUGUAUUUUUUUUUCGUGCGAGGUCAAUUUCAAGUUACACACACUCAUGGUAUAAGUUUGUCGGAAAUGUGCAAUGUGUAAGGAGCCAUUGUUUGUCCUAUGGUAAGCUACCAAUGUAUGGAGUUUGAAUAAAAUAAAGGCUGUCUAUCUGGCCUAGCGUGUUGUUUGGUUGUAAUCCUGUUCUUGGUUUGAGGACAGCAACUUAUACAAGUUUCAUGCUUGUUCA